GCCUCGUCGGGGUUUAUGCUCUUGCAGAGUUCUUUUCCGUUGAAGAAAUCUAGCAAAAGUUGCUGAACUUUUGGAAUUCUUGUUGACCCACCAACAAGAACAAUAUCAUGGACUUGACUUUUAUCUAUCUUUGCAUCGCGUAGACACUUCUCCACAGGUUCCAUACACUUUCUAAACAAAUCCAUGUUGAGUUCUUCGAAUCUUGCUCUAGUAAUGGUGGCAUAGAAAUCAAUACCUUCAUAGAGGGAAUCGAUCUCGAUAGUCGUCUGUGUGGUGGAAGACAGAGUCCUCUUUGCCCUCUCGCAAGCAGUCCUCAACCUUCUCAAAGCUCUGGCGUUGGUACUAAUAUCCUUCUUGUGUUUUCUCUUGAACUCUGCAACAAAAUGGUUAAC
rnacentral:misc_RNA from 1 species